AAUAUAAGCGCUGUACGGAAGUACGGAACAACUGAAAAUGAAAAAAAAAAAAAAACAAAAAAAAAAAACAGAAAAGAUCAAAAGAAAGCGCAACGUCAAUGGAGGGAGGGAAGAGGGAAACUGAGUGCGAGGAAGAUGCAUCAUAGAACAGGUUUUAUUCUUGUUGCAAUUUGUGAUCAUGGAAUCUAUGUGCUAGCAAUUCUUGAAUGCAACUGCUUUAUUGCUGUUGCCUUCAAAAUAAAUGAAGUUGAGAAAAUCACCAAAGCCGCCUUCUUUAUAGGAUAAUGGGUUCUGCUUAUCCACAAGCUUUGGUGCUGGUCCUACCUUUUUCUCCAGAGCUAGACUGUGCAGGCUAGCAAUUGAAAUUCGACACUUCUCUGAGUUGACUGUUGCUCUGUGGAUGACAGCCUUGUAUUGACCAUU